rnacentral:lncRNA from 1 species
AUGCAGAAGUAUGGUGUGUUCAAGUCCAUGUAUUCAACUGUCUGCCAGCUUGCAGCAGUGAUGACAUUUAGAUCAGUCGGUGCCUUCCUUCUCCCUUUUAGGUUUGCCCAUGUUUUCCUGGAGUCUGGGACAUAUGUUUUCAGGGAUAGGACCAUUCAGGAACACUUUCUGAUUGUGACUGUGAAUGAAGCAAAUGUGGGCUGUGACCCCAGAGAUGUGUCUUUCCAGCCCUCUUCUCUGUUCCAGCUGGCCAGACAUGGGAUUUUGAAGCAACAGGAACUGAACAUAGCUCCUAACUGGGCUUCUAUCAUAGCGGUGCUCUUCGUUCUGGGCUUCCUAAUUGUGGUGCUGACAACCCUGGCUAUUGUGCUGCAGCCCACUGUCCCUAUCCUUAGUCCCCUGAGGAGCUGGAAGCCACGAUGGAGGAGCCUAGGUGAGCCACACAUCCCACCAGAGUACGUCCUUCUCAAAGACAGCCUUCUGUACUAUCAGCAGCUUGGUCCCUGUGGUUCUGGAGGAGAUGCUGCCUUAGGAGAAAAAGGAGCCGUGCAUAAUGAAGGUGAAGUGUUGUGCCAACCCCAGCUGUUCUCCCAUUGCCUUUUGUUACACUGCUGUGAUAAUUUUGAUACCUUUUCACCCAGAAAUAUGUGCACAUGUGAUCACUUUAACUGCUGUGCACUAGUAUGCAGACAUCUACAGACACACGUAUUUCUAUGUUAGAUUCAUUUAGUCUCUUAAUGUGGGGACUGUAACCUCCUAUCAUGGGAAUAGGUCAGUGUUUUCUUCCCUAGAAGGCAGGAGGGCAAGUGACCAGCCCUGAAAAAUCAUUUAGAACAACGAUGGGUUCAAAUGACUAGUGAAGAAAAUAAAGAUCUUUAAGAAUAAUUCCCUGGGUCA